rnacentral:rRNA from 1 species
UACAGAGGGGGCAAGCGUUGUUCGGAGUUACUGGGCGUAAAGAGUGCGUAGGCGGUUUUCUAAGUUUGGUGUGAAAUCUCCCGGCUUAACUGGGAGGGUGCGCCGAAGACUGGAAGGCUUGAGUAUGGGAGAGGUAAGCGGAAUUCCUGGUGUAGCGGUGAAAUGCGUAGAUAUCAGGAGGAACACCUGCGGUGUAGACGGCUUACUGGACCAUAACUGACGCUGAGGCACGAAAGCGUGGGUAGCAAACAGG